AAGAGCUUGAGACUCAGCUGUUGACGGU
rnacentral:piRNA from 1 species